GGGAUGAUUAGCAUGCGAGACCGAGGGUGGUUCGUCCGCCCGGCGGAAUGCUCAGUAACACGUAGCAAACCUGCCCUGUGGACUGGGACAACCCGGGAAACUGGGGAUAAUCCUGGAUAGGAGAAGCUAGCUGGAAUGCACUUUUCUUAAAUGUUCAGGCGCCACAGGAUGGUGCUGCGGCCGAUUAGGUAGAUGGUGAGGUGAUAGCUCACCAUGCCGAUAAUCGGUACGGGCCCUGAGAGGGGGAGCCCGGAGACGGACUCUGAGACACGAGUCCGGGCCCUACGGGGCGCAGCAGGCGCGAAACCUUCGCAAUGUGUGAAAGCGCGACGAGGGGAUCCCGAGUGCCCUCGCAUUGCGGGGGCUUUUCUGGAGUUUAGGGUGCUCUAGGUAAUAAGAGCUGGGAAAGACCGGUGCCAGCCGCCGCGGUAACACCGGCAGCUCAAGUGGUGGCCACUUUUAUUGGGUUUAAAGCGCCCGUAGCCGGACUUACAAGCCCUUGGUUAAAUUCUACGGCUUAAUCGUAGACUUGCUGAGGGAACUGUGAGUCUUGGGGCCGGAAGGGGCUGGGGGUACUCCCGGGGUAGUGGUAAAAUGCUAUAAUCCUGGGGGGACCACCAAUAACGAAAGUACCCAGCUGGGACGGACCCGACGGUGAGGGACGAAGGCCAGGGGAGCGAACCGGAUUAGAUACCCGGGUAGUCCUGGCUGUAAACGAUGUGGACUAAGUGUCCCCGAGACCACGAGUCUCGGGGGCGCUGAAGAGAAAUCAUUAAGUCCACCACCUGGGAAGUACGGUCGCAAGGCUGAAACUUAAAGGAAUUGGCGGGGGAGCACCACAAGGGGUGGCGCGUGCGGUUUAAUUGGAUUCAACGCCGGGGAAACUUACUGGCGGAGACGGCAGGAUGAAGGCCACCCUGAAGGGCUUGCUAAACCUGCCGGAAGGAGGUGCAUUGGCGCGUCAGCUCUUACCGGGAGGCGUCUGGUUAAUUCCGGCAACAGGUCGGGACUUUAAGGGAACCCCGGCGAAUACCCCGAGAAAGAAGGGGCAACGGUAGGUCCCCUCCCCUAAUCCCGAGGCUACACCCCCCAAAAAGGUUAGAACAAGGUUGAACCUCCAAAGGGGUUCUAACCCAAGCCUAUU
rnacentral:rRNA from 1 species